rnacentral:piRNA from 1 species
UAUGAAAGCUUUGGGGAUUCUUGAAAAG